rnacentral:piRNA from 2 species
UUUCCAUGUCAGAGCUUUCAAAGUUGCCU